ensembl:lncRNA
GCAGAAGAUGGCCUCGCAGAAGAAGAGGUUCUUGCAAGCUGCCUUCCUGUUCCUCGCAGUGGCUCUUGGUGAGUUUGCGUGAGCGAACAUGCUGGGUGCCAGCUUUCUGCUGGCCAGCUUUCCUUCCAGGCCAGUGCGUGUGUGGAAAGUCCCCUGGCCCAAGUGCUUCCUGAGUAUGUCCUUGAGUGGCACUUGCUUUUGGACUACCAGUAAGACUGGGAGUCUCCAGCCAUGCUGCUGCUUGGCCACUAGUGCAAAUGGCCUGCUCAGUCUGCAAGCCAGUGAGAGAAGGGUGUAGGUAGGUAUUUCCAAGCCUGAACUGGGGGCUCCCAGAGGGGCCGCACAGGGGGACUGGUGGAGAGGUGCCUCUCCUAGCCCUUGCAGCCUGGUCUCAGUGCUCACCGAAGCCACGAGGGGAAAUGGGGAGCAGCUCUGGGGCACUGAGCACACCUGAAGAGCACGGCUGCGCAGUCCCCUCAAGCCUGGGGGGAUGGCUCCUGGUCAGAGGCACGUCCUCUCUCUGCACCCCACGUUACCCCACCAGAUGCCCCAGCCCCAAGGCAACAGGGAGGAGACAAGGUGACUGCAGGCAUGGCUGGCAACCCCAGGCAAAUAACUGUCUCUUUGUGAUGUGAAUUGCAGCUGGUGGUAACUGCUGGACCUCGCUGCCACUGUGGAGCAUGCACGCCAAGGGCCUGGUGGAGGAGCUGACACGUGUGUCUCUAGCACACCUGGAGACCCUGCGCAAUCUGCCUGCUUUGUGGUUCAAGGAACCCCGAAAGUUGGACCUUCUGCUGGAGGAGGUGGCUCAGCUGAAGGCAGAGCUCAACAGUGCAGAGAAGGUGACCCUGCAUUUUGGGGAAGGAGGGUUGGCUGGGCAGAACCCCCGAGAAAGCCCUCCUUGGGGGAGUUGUUGGGCUCAGACGGCUGGCCACAAGAACACAGCCUUUGCCAGGGGCUGGCUGGGAGAGCUGCUGUGCUGCACAGGCUCUUCUCUGGGCCCAGUUUAUCUGGGCUGCUUCAGGCAGUGGAGGACUCCCAGCAGCCUUCCCUUGGCAUGCCGGGGCCUCUGCCUGCUCUGGAUGGGGCCCCGAGGCAGUGGUGAGACCCAAGCAUGCUCACGGGGUCACCCAAUGCCAGCAGGGCCUGGGACCAUCUCCCGACUGACCUGGAGAGCGUGGAGGGUGGGGACGGGACAGUGGGGACCCUCAUCAACCCGCCUCGGGGCUGUGGCCAUGGCCACAGAGACUGUUCCUCAGGCCUCGUGUCUCACACCAGCGGCAGAGCGUCUCUGGGCUCUGUGGACAAGGCUUGACUUGCACCUCUGACGCGGACCCUUUGCCUCUGCAGGCGCUAGUAGCCACGCUGCUCUGCCCGCUGACAUGGUCCCUUUCUGUGUUCAUUCACAGCUUUACCAGGAAGUUCAGGACAGCAAGCAGGCAGUGCCUUCGGAAGUCUGUGACACAAUGUUUGACUGGGCCCUGAAAAGCUCUGGUACGGACACAAGCAGCCCCACCUCCUUGCCCUGCGCUUGCCUGUAGCACUCCCCAGAGGAGGCCGUGCUCUCCAGAGUGGGGCAGCUGAAAUGCUCCCUGGGGUCCCCGAGCCAGGCUGUGGCCGAGCGGCUCUCUCGGGCUCCCUCCCAGUCCUGCCCUUGGCCCCUGCGCGGGUGCCUCUGGCGCUGCCCACGCACACGUUGAUGUGCU